rnacentral:rRNA from 1 species
GACGAACGCUGGCGGCGUGCUUAACACAUGCAAGUCGAACGGAAAGGCCCUGCUUUUGUGGGGUGCUCGAGUGGCGAACGGGUGAGUAACACGUGAGUAACCUGCCCUUGACUUUGGGAUAACUUCAGGAAACUGGGGCUAAUACCGGAUAGGAGCUCCUGCUGCAUGGUGGGGGUUGGAAAGUUUCGGCGGUUGGGGAUGGACUCGCGUCUUAUCAGCUUGUUGGUGGGGUAGUGGCUUACCAAGGCUUUGACGGGUAGCCGGCCUGAGAGGGUGACCGGCCACAUUGGGACGGAGAUACGGCCCAGACUCCUACGGGAGGCAGCAGUGGGGAAUAUUGCACAAUGGGCGGAAGCCUGAUGCAGCAACGCCGCGUGCGGGAUGACGGCCUUCGGGUUGUAAACCGCUUUCGCCUGUGACGAAGCGUGAGUGACGGGAAUGGGUAAAGAAGCACCGGCUAACUACGU